rnacentral:rRNA from 1 species
CAAAGCACUUUGAAGAGAGAGUUAAAGAGGACGUGAAACCGGUAAGGUGGAAACGGAUAGAGUCGGCGUAUCAUUCAAUUAUUCAGUUACAUUAUUUUUAUGUUGUGACCUCUGAGCUCCAGAUUGGGACAGAGGGAAUCAGCAUAAUUUUUUGUGGUGCAUUUACUUGAUUGGUGCUUGGGGAUGUUUGAGGCAGAUUUGUUUCCGUCGUUUUGAGGCCAGCUUGCUGGUACCCAAACGGUGUUAGCAUUUUUUGUCUUGGGCAUUUGAGUAUGGCUCACGUGUAUUUAUUGGACAGAUCUGAGUGUAAGUUACGGUCGCAUGCGACACGUGCUUUUCAAUUAGUUCGGUCCAGUUAAUGCUCUCGUACUCGUUCCCCAUGUAAAAGCCGGUCAUCUAUCCGACCCGUCUUGAAACACGGACCAAGGAGUUUAUCGUGUGCGCAAGUUUUUGGGUGUUAAAAACUUAAAAGCGAAAUGAAAGUAAAUGACUCUUUAGAGUCUGAUGUGCGAUCUUGUAAAAAAGUGCAGCAUGGCCCCAUUCUAACUGUUUACAGUAGGGUGGCGGAAGAGCGUACGCGGUGAGACCCGAAAGAUGGUGAACUAUUCCUGAGCAGGACGAAGCCAGAGGAAACUCUGGUGGAAGUCCGAAGCGGUUCUGACGUGCAAAUCGAUCGUCUGACUUGGGUAUAGGGGCGAAAGACUAAUCGAACCAUC